rnacentral:piRNA from 1 species
CGUUCAGUGCUGUCCCAAUGGUC